rnacentral:rRNA from 1 species
GGGAUAACAGUUGGAAACGACUGCUAAUACCGCAUAAGCGCACAGGGUCGCAUGGCCUGGUGUGAAAAACUCCGGUGGUAUGAGAUGGACCCGCGUCUGAUUAGCCAGUUGGUGGGGUAACGGCCUACCAAAGCGACGAUCAGUAGCCGACCUGAGAGGGUGACCGGCCACAUUGGGACUGAGACACGGCCCAAACUCCUACGGGAGGCAGCAGUGGGGAAUAUUGCACAAUGGGGGAAACCCUGAUGCAGCGACGCCGCGUGAGCGAAGAAGUAUUUCGGUAUGUAAAGCUCUAUCAGCAGGGAAGAAGAAAUGACGGUACCUGACUAAGAAGCACCGGCUAAAUACGUGCCAGCAGCCGCGGUAAUACGUAUGGUGCAAGCGUUAUCCGGAUUUACUGGGUGUAAAGGGAGCGCAGGCGGUACGGCAAGUCUGAUGUGAAAGCCCGGGGCUCAACCCCGGUACUGCAUUGGAAACUGUCGGACUAGAGUGUCGGAGGGGUAAGUGGAAUUCCUAGUGUAGCGGUGAAAUGCGUAGAUAUUAGGAGGAACACCAGUGGCGAAGGCGGCUUACUGGACGAUUACUGACGCUGAGGCUCGAAAGCGUGGGGAGCAAACAGGAUUAGAUACCCUGGUAGUCCACGCCGUAA